rnacentral:lncRNA from 1 species
AUGUUAGGUGAGCAUAUGGAUGUCCUGCCCGAUAUACUAUUACCACAUAGACCAGACGUUAACAAUAUGUCCGUCACGGACUGCACACUUCAUGUGGAUUUUUUUUGGGGGGUUAAUAUGCAUAUAAACAUCCUUUUAAUUAGCAGAGUAGAAUGAUCAUGGCUGAUAGUAAGACAUAAGAAAACCUAACUGGAUGCGAGAACAGCUAUAUAUUAAGGAUAUAAUAAAUAAUUUGGAGUUGGGAUAAACUUCACUACUCCUAACAUUUCAUAGAUUUAGACAACUGCAGUGGUAUUUUUGUGGCACACUUCAUGCAGUUUGCCUGUGGCAUCUUUGAGAAUUCAACUGAAUCAUAUGGCAGUGACUGUAAUAACUGACAGCUUACGCUGCCCACCACCACCUUUUAAAAAAAAAUAAAAAAAAAAAAUCAAAGAAAAGGACAAGCACCAGUUAAAAUCAAUAAUGUAACCAAUACCUGUCGAUUUGUAAAACAUCCAACCUCCUUGUAGACUUUUCAAUUUUGGAAAUUCAUCCUCAAGCUGAGAAACAAUCUAAAAACAAAACAAACAGCACCCCUAAGUCUACAACAUGCUACAGUUUGAUUUUUUGAUAAAAAAUAAACUUUUUGGAAACGCCUUUUGGUUUAAAAAAACUACUGCACAUUUCAACUCACAAAACAGUUUUGUACAUUAUUACCUCUGUUGAAAGUUGUCUGGAAGACUCAGAAGUCUUUUACCCAGGCCUGCAUGUGCAAACUCUAGGUCUUCUGAGCCUUUUGGAGUGACAAGGGAUGGUUUAGGCAGGACAUACAUCUGAAAAUCUGUUAUGUUCACACAGGUUGCAGGUGUUGACAUGAAACGUCUUUUCCCUCUAGGCAGAUCAUUUUGAGAAUUGAACAUACCAGGAAACUGCCUAUUUCACCACACAUCAAAGAAGAGAACAGUUUGAGACUUACGAAAGACAAAAAGAAACAAAAACCUUAUUAUAAAAUUUCUCAAAAGAAAGUUGAGUGACGCUUACUGUUUUUGAACAUUCCAACACCCCCGCGCUGCAGGAGGCAGGGUGUAGAUUAAUGUAUACAUGACUCGUGACUUUAUUUUAUCAGUGUUCAUUUGUUUUAUUAAAAUUGGAUAAAUUAUUAAACCUUUUUAUAUUUUAUGUGAUGUCAUGAUUUGAUAAAAACAAAGGUCUAUUAUUGUAUGUUCUUUUGGCAAUUUGCUUAUUGAAAGAACAGCAGCAGCAGCAGUGUGGUGUAACAUUUAUUUGAAACACAUGUGAUUGGUACUUGCUACCUUAUAUCUUUACUCUUUUCUUUCUAUUCUUUUCAUGACUUUGGAAAACUUGCAUCUGAUGUUUCUCUACGUCGUCUUUUGUCUAUAACUCCGGGUCGUCGACACCAAGCUUUGUUGUCCUACCUUAUAUCUUUACUCUUUUCUUUCAUUCUUUUCAUGACUUUGGAAAACUUGCAUCUGAUGUUUCUCUACGUCGCUUUUUGCAUAACUCCGGGUCGUCGACACCAAGCUUUGUUGCAAUUUCUUUCUAGGAAUUAAAUGCUUUCUCUGAAUCUUUAAAGUCUCUCCGUGAGCGAUUGUACAGGUGCAGAUAUAUCUGUGCCAGCUCAGCGAUUCAACACAUUGUACUGUAGUAAAGAGAGCAUGGUCCCUUUAAGCCUAUUCACUGUGAUCAUUCUGUUUCUAUUGGCUGUUAGUUAUGUCAUUUAGAGAGUAUAUCAGGGUUUCUGCAGGUAUCUUCAAAUUAAAUUUAAUGCCUUUUUAAAAAACAGGUAAUGCCAUACACGACCCAUGACUACCCACAGAUAUUAUAUAUACAGUGGGUAUGGAAAGUAUUCAGACCCCCUUAAAUUUUUCACUCUUUGUUAUAUUGCAGCCAUUUGCUAAAAUCAUUUAAGUUCAUUUUUUUUUCCUCAUUAAUGUACACACAGCACCCCAUAUUGACAGAAAAACACAGAAUUGUUGACAUUUUUGCACAUUUAUUAAAAAAGAAAAACUGAAAUAUCACAUGGUCCUAAGUAUUCAGACCCUUUGCUGUGACACUCAUAUAUUUAACUCAGGUGCUGUCCAUUUCUUCUGAUCAUCCUUGAGAUGGUUCUACACCUUCAUUUGAGUCCAGCUGUGUUUGAUUAUACUGAUUGGACUUGAUUAGGAA